UAGGGAAUCUUCCGCAAUGGACGAAAGUCUGACGGAGCAACGCCGCGUGAGUGAAGAAGGAUUUCGGAUCGUACAACUCUGUUGUUAGGGAAGAAAAAAUGUAUAGUAACUAUAUACAAAAGAGACGGUACCUAACCAGAAAGCCACGGCUAACUACGUGCCAGCAGCCGCGGUAAUACGUAGGUGGCAAGCGUUGUCCGGAAUUAUUGGGCGUAAAGCGCGCGCAGGUGGUUUAGAAAGUCUGAUGUGAAAGCCAACGGCUCAACCGGAGAGGAUCAUUGGAAACAAAUAAACGUUAGUGCAAGAGAGAAAAGUGGAAUUCCUAGGGUAGCGGUGAAAUGCGUAGAGAUUAGGAGGAACACCGGUGGCGAAAGCGGCUUUUUGGCCUGCAACUGACACUGAGGCGCGAAAGCGUGGGGAGCAAACAGG
rnacentral:rRNA from 1 species